UGGGUUGGUGCUGUUGGGGGUAGUAGGUAGAAGGGAUAGGGAGCGAGAGAAGGUGUGAGAUUAAAGUGGUUACUGUGGUCCUGGGUGUGAUGAAGAGGAAGAGGAAGGGGCUGAGAACAGAGACGGAGAAACUGUGUGUGUCUUCACAUCCUCCCUCGUGCACAUGUUCACCCAGGUGGAGGGACGAUGACGCUGGCUGCCUGACUACCUCCCGUCAUUAUUAUUCCCCCACCCCCUCCACCCGUCUCCCACUACAGCUGGAUAAGCCAGCCGCUAACCGGCUCCACUCUCUCCUACACAACAGGGAUUUGAAGAUUGCAUCCUCACAUUUGUAAUCAGAUGGAGGAAAGGAUUAUGUCAAGGUCUCCUCCAUCUUGUGUACAGCCGGCAGGCUGCUGAGACAAAGAAGAGAGAACACAGAGUGAAUGCAGAGAGGGGAGAGGUCACCUGUGGAUGAGGGCUUCCUAUCGAUCUGCACCCGACACGAGCAUCUCACUGUGAAAGGUUUUCCAUGGCCUGGUGUCCCGUGUCCGAGCAGCUCCCUCUGGUAGGAGCUGCUUCCUUGGAGGCUACCCUCUCUGAUCAGUCUCUCUUCGACACCUCUAGGAGCUCCUCACAGACUUCAACACCCUACAGACUGGCAGGGGGACUAGGUAACACCUGCGGUGAGCAACCGAUGAAGUCCUGUACAGAACCUUCAGCUACUUCUUCAACCACAGAAACCAACUGCAGCAGUCUGAAGGCCGCUGUGGAGCCUGGCGACCCAGAGCAAAGCCACCAUGGUUUGGCUGAAACACCCUCACAACACCACAAGACGGUUGUGAAUCUAUUCAAUGACACCCCUCGGACGUCCCUCCCUGUCCACAGGAGCCACUCAGACACAUUGCCUCUGGGUCAGCAGGAAGUGCCCCCCCAGGCUCCGGCCUGCAGGACUUGUGCACAUGCUUACCACGGAGGAAAUCAAAGUAUCCAAGAGGGUUACUUCAUGUCAGCCUGCAAGCAGCCAAUGCUGCUGCAGCAGUGCAACGUCAUCACCACUGUUUGCAGAGGGGGCACCGGCGGAGAAGGUGGUGCACAGCAAGUUGAGACCAUGGGUGGAGGUGUCCCGUCGCCCAGGGCAGUAGUCAAAGUGGAGGGCCGUGGAGAAAUGGGUCCAGAUUGCAAAAAGGUUCUCUGCUAUGGGUCCUACAACCAACAAUCAAUUGUCAAUUCAGAGGACACGUUCGCUGCCUACUGCCACCCCCAACCCAUCCCAGCCCCCUCCCAGCUGCUGUCCCACACGGGUGGGGCCCGUCCUUCAGCGACAAACAGCCUCACCCUACCUCGCCUCAUCUCUUCUGUCAGUGAGACGGGCCUGGAUGCCAAACACCUGCUGCGCUGCUGCAACCUCAACUGCUCCUGGACCGGCCUGCUGCCUCCUGUUGUGCCUCAGUCCCAAAAAGACUUUGGCGCUUUGGAGUGCUGCAUCAGUCCCGUUAGCCAUGUCAGAACCAUAACUCGGGACACAGGGACUAUGACGGCGCACAAAGAGCUGAGGGACAUUGGGGUGCAGACAGGACCGAUUGUCACACCUCAUGUGUUCCCCCAGGUCUGCCUGGUAGAGGAGAGCAAGGAUGAGACGUCCUGCAGCGGAACGCUCAAGAAGUCGGGCGAUGCUCUGAAGUCGCCAGUGAAGGAGGUGAAGUGGGAUGCGGAAGGAAUGACAUGGGAGGUGUACGGGGCCUCUGUGGACCCGGAGGAGCUGGGUGUGGCCAUACAGAAACACCUGGAGCUGCAGAUCAAGGAGACGGCAAGCCUUGCAGCCAAGCUGUCGCGUCAGGACACCAACACCUCCCAGCAGGUGGAGAAGGCCAGCUGUCAGAGAAAGAGGAGCGGGAUCAUUCGCUCCAUCAGAACCCCGGGCUGCUGCAGUCGCAGCACUUCAGCUGUUGACUAACGGGACGGAACCUGAGCAGCUUACCACAACCAAUGAAGAAGCUCGUUAUGAAAUGACCAUUCAAGAUUUGUGGUACGAAAAAGAAAAGGAACAUUAGCCUUCAACCCUUAACCAUUAACUAUUACUGACAUUAUUUUCAGAGGCCCAUCCAUUAAGGAACUACUCAAUGGACACCUGUGCAGUGCACAGCAAUCUGAUACAACAACCCUGCAAUAAAUGCUACUCAUAAUGAACCUGUCGAACAGGGAAAUAAAUCGAUUUCAACACAAACACAGCUCGAUGAAACCCAUUCUUCUCCUCCUCCCAGCCACCACUUAGAGGUAGUGGUGUUCCUCCCCCUGGCUAACUGGGUGCCCAAAUAGUGAGCACUGGAAACAUUGCAGGCCAUCAUACAUUGUGUUGGUUUAAUUGAUUAGAGGGCAAAAGGAAUCUGUUAGGCAAACCUGAACUGAAGAAGGGGAAAGCGGGUUUUCAUUUUAAGAAAUGGGUCCACAGAGAAAAGGUCUUGUGGCCAUCGUGGAGUGAAAUAAACUCUAUAACAUUCUAUUAUAUUUAUGUUUUCCAGACAUGAUUCAUCAAGCCCCCCCACUUCUUUGUUGCAACUGUGUAACUGAUGUAAAUGUAAUAAAGAAAGCCUCAUCUGAUGAAUUGCCCUGCCAAACAGGUGGUAUGAAAUAAGUGAAUGAAACUUGUUCUCAUCAGAGAGCAAAGACAAUGGAACUGUGGGAUUCACCAGUGUCAUCUGUGAAGGAAGCAGAGACUAAGAAUGAGCAUUAAGAGUCUAACACACUGAAACACAAGCAUUUGCUCCGGUAUGAAGUUAUCAGGUUUGAUUUAGUGUAAAACAGAAAGAUCAAUACUUUCCUCAUUGAUCCUCAGCUCCAUUAUUUCGAUUUCCUUUCUGGACUCCGUUGUGUCGGUUCAGUGUGGACAUUGCAAACAGACUGGAUCAAAGGGCCGACCUCAUGGAGCACCGUGUCUCUUCACAGCGCCCGAGCCUCACCCCACCACAAAGACUUCAGCCCACGGGUCUGUGUCACUCACAGAAGGAAACGACACAAGUAGCCUGCCUCAAGUGUUAAUGGACAAUGUGACGUUCUGAUAUUGUGUGAAACCUUCACCCAGGAGCUACACUCGGUGUCCACUGGGAGAGAUAAAGCACGUCUGUGACACUGAGGUGCAUACUUCAGAUUACCCUGGCAACUACCCUGGCUAUGAUGACACCUGGGAUA